rnacentral:lncRNA from 10 species
AGCAAGGCUCAGCCUCAAGAUUCACAGCAUCUCAGACACAGCCUAGGCCGCACCAGGAUGUCGGACACCGAGGAGCAGGAAUAUGAGGAGGAGCAGCCGGAAGGAGGCUGCGGAGGAGGAGGAGGAAGCCCCCGAAGAGCCGGAGCCGGUGGCAGAGCCAGAAGAGGAACGCCCCAAACCAAGGUGAGAUCCUACAGGGUGGGGGGCCCCAGUCAUACAUCUUCCUAAAUAUUCCCUCUACCCCCAGAGACAAGGUGUGAGAAAGGCAGAGAUGGAGGGAGGAAAUUGAAACAGCAGUCGACAUUUCUCCUCCUCCUCCUCCUCCCU